rnacentral:lncRNA from 1 species
AAUUUAAAUUUUUUCGCAAGGAAAUUUCAAAUUUCUUUUUACCAAAUCUAAUAAUAGCAUUGUAUUAGAUCAGAAUUGAUGGUAGUCAGUAUUCUUUAACUUUAAUUCAUAUUCUGUCAUUCUACAGAAUUAUUUUUAUGCACGUUUCUAAUAAUUUUAUAUUUUAGAAUGACAAGAUCAGUUGGACAAGUUUCCCCGAUGUUGUUCCAAUAUAACAGAACUUUAUUUGUGAAAAAAUUAAGUUUUUCAUAUUUUACACAGAAACUCUGCUAUUACCUGUUAUACUUUCUUUUUGUGUACAAGUCAUUUUACAAUUUAUUGGGUAUGUAGGUUAUUAUGUAGGUAGUCAUCUAUUUAUUUGAGCUGUUGUUAGAUUGUCAUGAUGGGCAAAUCUGUUGCUGUUUGUUGAAGCAGCUUUCCAUCAUAGCAUUGCAAAAUGUAAAUGUGGUUUACUUUAGAGAUGUGCUCUUUCACAUUCCUUCACUGACCAUAGCUUUUACCUCAACUGACCCUAAAGGACAAAUAAGUGUUGCAAUCACGUCAUUCCAUUUCCUAUUCAAUACAGCAUUUUUUACACUCCACCCUUAAGCUGAUUGUUGCAAAAUCAUCUGGAGUUGUCCUUGUCCAUCUGUAUUUAUAUCUGCUUUGAUUGAUUACCGGUAAAUUCUUUGUUAAAGUUCAUUUGACAAAUACCUGUAAAUGCCUUUGUUUGUGAUAUGACAGUUUUCAACAAAUUGUGAGUCAUGUCAAUAUUUGUUUCAUGCAUAAGUACCAUUAAGAUGUGUUGUGUUUGUUCAUUACAGAAACAAAUAAUGAUGUAUUGGGGAUAUUUCAGUACAUUUAUUAUUCUUCUUUUAUAGGCUUUUUUUAAAUACAGUAUUUCUAUUACAAUGUAAUCAUGAUAAAUCAGCCACAUGUGUGAUUGGUUUACUUUUAAGUUUAGGUUCAAAUGUCAAAAAUAUUUAAAGUUAGGCCAAUGAUUUUUUACAUCUGUAACACACUUCAGCGACAUUUAAACCCACCAUAUGGACACUUUAUGAUUUUUUUGGUCCUAUGCUCUUCAUCUCCGUACUUUGUUUGGCCUUUUUGGCUUUUUUUUUAUUCAAGCGUUACUGGUGAGUCUUUAGUUGAUGAAGUGUGCAUCUGGCGCAAGUGCAGAAUUUCAGUAAUUGUGUAUAUAUAUAUAAUGAGUUUAUUUUAUACAUUAAUUAUACUUGAGUUGUUCAAAUAUAUUAAGCAUCUAAAUGUGAAACAUGUUAGGAAAUUGAAAUGUAAUUAUGUAAAUUUUCCUAGUAGCUCCAAAUAUCCUUUGAAAAAGUUGGCAUUGACUAUAUGUUUAUGAUAGCCUUAGUUCAUCUGACAACUACAAAUUUUGAACUUUUCAAAUUGGUCCAAUAUCUCAGAUGAUCUCAGAUGGUUGUAAUCUAAGACAUGGUUGUAAUUACCUGAAUCAAAUAAUUUUCUGCCAUAUUACUGUGUUAGGGUAGAUGGUCCCCAUGACCUCCAUUUAACAACUAUAUUUGAUAAAGUUAAAACAUUAAGAGUAGAACUUAUCUGUGAAUAUUAUUACAGGAUGCCUUAUAAGGUGUCAGUUGAGACAUGGCUGUGAGGAGAAAUCUUAAUCAUGCAAGUUAGCAAUGCACCUCUUGUUUAUGAUCAAUAGGUUACAAAAACAUUCCAUAGAAUGUAAUUUCAAUAUUUGUAUGUGUGAUUUGUGUGUCAUACCCUGAUGGUUUGUUUACAUAAAAACAACAUUAAAAUUAUAUAAAAUAUAUAUUCUAGUGUUAUGUCAUUUGUGGAUAUUAUUCUAAUGGGCGUUAGUUCCUUAAACUGAAUAAUUUAUGUCAGUUAGAAUUACAGAACAGCAAAAACUUCAAUCUGAUGAAGUUUGCUUUAUAGUGCAAACUUUAACUGAAAAUGCAUAUAAACUAUUUUUUAAUCUUUAAGGCAUUAAAGUUUCAGAGUUUAUUUAAUAUAUUGCAUUUUUGUUUCUCUUAGUUAAUAUUUUAAAGUACAAGCAUCUGUCAACUGCAUAAUUUGAAAAAAAUACAGCCCUAGGAUUUGUCCUCAAUGGGCCUUAAUGGUGUUCUGUUUGUUCUUUUGGUGCUCAGACUUACCUCUCAUUAAAUUAUAAA